AACGAGGAGACGGACGCAUUCGUUAAAGUGGAGACUUAGCGAUAUACAUAAGAGGAUUCUAAAACGAAUUUUAUUGAGUUUUUUUAUACUUCGUGUUAUUUUCAUAGUUCUUUUUAUACUAAUAUAUUUAUAGUGAAAUAUUUGUUUAAAACAAAAUAAACAUACGUUAAAUCGGCAUAUAUUUUUUAUAUUUUGUGUUUGUGAAUCUGUGUCUAUUUUUCCAACGAAGUUAAAGAUCAUGCUAAAAAGAAAUCAUUACACAGAUUUGACAUUCGUAGAAUGAUUCAUAAAACAUGUCUAGAUCUAAAUAAAAUGGACAUAAUCAAUUGAUUGCACAGUCUAAAGAAAUAUGGGAGAAUUCAUUUUGGGGAGGAUGUGAUAAUGACAUUUUAAUAAAGGAUUAUCAAGAUAAUGGCUUAUUCACUAUAAAUCGACCAAAAACAUUAAAUACUCUUACACCAGGAAUAUGUAAAAUAAUAAAUGAAACGCUUCAAAAGUGGAACCAUAAUAAAAAAUUAAUAAUGAUAGAAGGAUCUGGUGAUAAGGCAUUUUUGUUCAGGAGGAUAUCUUAGAAUGCCUCUAUCUUAUCGAUAUUUGAAAAAUGAUGAUUAUGAUUGCCAUAAAAUAAAACAUUUCGAGAAUAUUACUCAAUGAGUUAUUAUAUUAGUACAUUAAAAGUACCAUUUAUAGCUCUGAUGAAUAAUCUAACAAUGGGAUUAGGAUCUGCGAUAUCUCUACAAGCUAAAUAUAGAAUCGUCACAGAAAGAUCACUCUAUGCUAUGCCUGAAGUUUCAAUCGGUUAUUUCCCCGAUUCCUCAUCAUGCUAUACUUUUCCUAGAUUACAAAAUCAUAUAGGAUAUCUUUUAGGUGUUACUGGAUACAGAUUAAAAGGUACUGACAUUGUUCAUGCUGGUAUUGCCAGUCAUUUCGUUCCCUCGGAAAAAACUAGGAGAUUUGAAGAAUGAAUUGCUUAAAUCUGAUAAUUCCAAUAUAGAAGAAAUUAUUAAUAAAUAUCAUGUUAAUACAUCAAAAAAUAAUUUUAGCCUUAAUCAGUAUAUAGACAUAAUUGAGAAUUGUUUCUCUGCCCCUACUGUCGAAGAAAUCUUAGAAAGAUUGGAAAAAGACAAUACGAAAUGGUCGAGAAAAAUUAUAGAAAUGAUAAAAGCAGCAUCACCACUUCUUUGAAGUCGGCUCUUCUUAUUAUUCAAAAGGGAAAAGAUUUAGAUCUUGCUGAUUGUGCGAGAAUGGAGUGUAGAAUGGGUCAUCGUUUACUUUCAGAAGGUUCGAUAUUUUGAAGGUAUUAACACUACUCUUUAUGAAAAAGAUAAAAAACCACAAUGGAAUCCUGCACGUUUAGAAGAUGUGCCAAUGGAUAAGAUAAAGCAUUAUUUAAGUAAUCUACCACCGGAAAAAGAAUUAAAAUUAUAAUAAAACGAAGAAAUGACAGAAGAAACAAUUAUGUUAAUUAAUCAAUUAAACAUAUUAAUAAUUUAAACUAUUAGAAGCUAGGAUAUAGUAUUAGUCAUUUAAAUUUUCUUAAUAAUUUUUUUAACAACUUUAAUAAUUUACAUGUUUUAAUUUAG